rnacentral:rRNA from 1 species
UACGGAGGAUGCGAGCGUUAUCCGGAUUUAUUGGGUUUAAAGGGUGCGUAGGCGGGCUUUUAAGUCAGCGGUAAAAAUUCGGGGCUCAACCCCGUCCGGCCGUUGAAACUGGGGGCCUUGAGUGGGCGAGAAGAAGGCGGAAUGCGUGGUGUAGCGGUGAAAUACAUAGAUAUCACGCAGAACCCCGAUUGCGAAGGCAGCCUUCCGGCGCCCUACUGACGCUGAGGCACGAAAGUGCGGGGAUCGAACAGG